GACGAACGCUGGCGGCGUGCCUAAUACAUGCAAGUAGGACGCAGUUGCGAACGGGUGAUUAACGCGUAGGUAACUACCUAUUAGAGGUGGAUAACUAUUGGAAACCAUAGCUAAUACCGCAUACUAGUAGAUGGACCUGCUUUGUAUUAGCUAGUAGGUAAGGGAAUGGCCUACCUAGGCAAAGUUACAUAUCCGACCUGGGAGGGUGAUAGGCCACACUGGGACUGAGAAAAGGCCCAGACUCCUACGGGAGGCAGCAGUAGGGAAUCUUCGGCAAAGGGGGGAAACCUGACCGAGCAACGCCGCGUGAGUGAAGAAGGUUUUCGGGUCGUAAAGAUCUGUUGUUAAGGAAGCGGUACUUAACCAGAAAGGGACGGCUAACUACGUGCCAGCAGCCGCGGUAAUUC
rnacentral:rRNA from 1 species